rnacentral:rRNA from 1 species
CGCGCGCAGGCGGUCCUUUAAGUCUGAUGUGAAAGCCCACGGCUCAACCGUGGAGGGUCAUUGGAAACUGGGGGACUUGAGUGCAGAAGAGGAGAGUGGAAUUCCACGUGUAGCGGUGAAAUGCGUAAAGAUGUGGAGGAACACCAGUGGCGAAGGCGACUCUCUGGUCUGUAACUGACGCUGAGGCGCGAAAGCGUGGGGAGCAAACAGGAUUAGAUACCCUGGUAGUCCACGCCGUAAACGAUGAGUGCUAAGUGUUAGAGGGUUUCCGCCCUUUAGUGCUGCAGCUAACGCAUUAAGCACUCCGCCUGGGGAGUACGGCCGCAAGGCUGAAACUCAAAGGAAUUGACGG